CCGAUCUCUCGGCGUGGAGGAAACGUAAACAAAGGAAAUGUACUCUCUUGUCCAUUUUUUGGCGGAAAAUGAUGUCGCAGUUGUCCCUACCUGUUGGGUGUGCAAUGGCUGCACGGCAUGGCCACCCUACAAAUCAAAUCGGUUGAUGAUGGCAAUUAGAGAGCGUGAAGAGCCCUCAACUGACUGGGCCACAUUCUCCUGUCAGGUGAUGGCAUCAUGUUUGACAUAUGAAGAUGCAAAGUACAAAGAAAAAAAAUUCGGAAGCGACGUCCGACCUAACAUUGAAUAAUGAAGAGCGGGAGAAGAGAAAAAGGAAGAGACUGCAGCAUACUCUUUCUUCAUUUGAGGAUGAGGACUUCUAUGACCAAGAUGAACGACGUAACACUCAGCCAGCCCCUCGACUUCCAGAACCAGAGCCCAAGCAAAAACGCACACGUG
rnacentral:lncRNA from 1 species